UUGAUUUAUUAAUUAGUAUAUCUUUUGACUAACGAAGUAAAGAGAAGAGAGAAAUAUCAUACGUGUGACGACAAGUUAGUGUGUGUUAGGCGAGAACUUCUUUUAAUAAUUUAAAAAGAUAUAAAUUAAAAAUAAAAAAUAGUUAUCUAAAGAAUAAUUAUAUAUUUUUAUAAUAACGAUUAUUAAAAUUUUCAUUAAUUUAGCUUUCAAAUUUUAUACCGUGUGUGAUUUUUUUUAAAUAACAGGUAAAGAAAUGAAUAUAUUUAUUCGCGCCUCAAAGAAAGUACUCCAGGCGUUGUACGCAUGCGCGGCGGGAAUUGUUCAACUGUUUUGCCGGUAGACGUGACGCCAUGUUUGUUCCUUGAAGACGAGCUUGACACGGGACUCGCAUCGUCCUCGUUAAUUACAGUUUUCCAAGAAUUUAUAUGAGUGAAAAAGCACAAUAUAGAAACACCGAAAACAAUUCCUUCAAAGCAGCCGGCCUUCAGCGGACAAGUAAGGACACAAAACUAGACUUAAUAGAGAAUGACAGAGAUAGAUAACACUCGAGACGUAAAUACAAUUGGGUUAUGUUUCCGAGAAUUUCUUCAAUCGAGAAAGAAAAGAAAACAAAUAAGCGUUUGCGAUUUUUCAAGCAUUCUUCAAUGUUUACAAACUGCUUGUGAUCAUGUACAAAGAAUAGUUUUAGAAUCAGUGUUUGCUCGUAAUAUUUUUAUUUAUUAUAUUAAGCGAUUAAAAAAAAAAAAUUAGAUUAAAAAUAGAAAUUCGUGAAGU